CCUACGGGGGGCAGCAGUGGGGAAUAUUGGACAAUGGGGGCAACCCUGAUCCAGCCAUGCCGCGUGUGUGAAGAAGGCCCUCGGGUUGUAAAGCACUUUCAGUGAGGAAGAACGCCUGGUGGUUAAUACCCAUCAGGAAAGACAUCACUCACAGAAGAAGCACCGGCUAACUCCGUGCCAGCAGCCGCGGUAAUACGGAGGGUGCGAGCGUUAAUCGGAAUUACUGGGCGUAAAGCGCGCGUAGGUGGCUUGAUAAGCCGGUUGUGAAAGCCCCGGGCUCAACCUGGGAACGGCAUCCGGAACUGUCAAGCUAGAGUGCAGGAGAGGAAGGUAGAAUUCCCGGUGUAGUGGUGAAAUGCGUAGAGAUCGGGAGGAAUACCAGUGGCGAAGGCGGCCUUCUGGACUGACACUGACACUGAGGUGCGAAAGCGUGGGUAGCAAACAGGAUUAGAUACCCCAGUAGUC
rnacentral:rRNA from 1 species